rnacentral:rRNA from 1 species
CAGUGGGGAAUAUUGGACAAUGGGCGAAAGCCUGAUCCAGCCAUGCCGCGUGUGUGAAGAAGGUCUUCGGAUUGUAAAGCACUUUAAGUUGGGAGGAAGGGCAGUUACCUAAUACGUGAUUGUUUUGACGUUACCGACAGAAUAAGCACCGGCUAACUCCGUGCCAGCAGCCGCGGUAAUACAGAGGGUGCAAGCGUUAAUCGGUAUUACUGGGCGUAAAGCGCGCGUAGGUGGUUAAAUAAGUUGGAUGUGAAAUCCCCGGGCUCAACCUGGGAACUGCAUUCGUAACUGACGGACUAGAGUAUGGUAGAGGGUGGUGGAAUUUCCUGUGUAGCGGUGAAAUGCGUAGAUAUAGGAAGGAACACCGGUGGCGAAGGCGGCCACCUGGACUGAUACUGACACUGAGGUGCGAAAGCGUGGGGAGCAAACAGGAUUAGA